GUGGAUUAGAUACCCUGGUAGUCCACGCUGUAAACGAUGUCAACUAGCUGUUGGGUAUAUGAAUGUACUUAGUGGCGCAGCAAACGCGAUAAGUUGACCGCCUGGGGAGUACGGUCGCAAGAUUAAAACUCAAAGGAAUUGACGGGGGCCCGCACAAGCGGUGGAGCAUGUGGUUUAAUUCGAUGCAACGCGAAGAACCUUACCUACCCUUGACAUACAGUGGAUUUUGCAGAGAUGUGGAAGUGCCUUCGGGAACACUGAUACAGGUGCUGCACGGCUGUCGCCAACU
rnacentral:rRNA from 1 species